GGGGGAUGAAGUAGCUGUGUAAGGUUACCUAGUAAAACAAAGCUCUGAAGUCUGCUCUUAGCUUCUCUUAUUCUUCCAAUAUCUUUCUUCCUUUUAGGGUCUGUAGAUUCUUCACUUCUUCUGAUCCUUCAAUACAAGGCAAUCAUGGAAGGAGAGGCUUCAGCUGAUUUUCGAGACUGGGAGCUCCUAGUGAACUCUGAUGCCGACCCGAUUAAUUCCCCCAAUUCCGCCAAUAAUUCCAGGAGUUUUGAUGAAAUUGAAGCUGAUUCUGAAGGUGUGCUCAGGUUAGAUUAUUUCUCCCUUGAAAAUGAUAAACGAUAUGCCAAAACUGUUGUUGAUGCCAGUGAAGAGGGUUCUGUUGAGUCUGAUAAUCCCAGUUGGAUUGAUCCCGGGUCGGAGACUGGGAAUCAGAGGAGGAAUUUUGGUGAAUUCUGGUCCGAUUCGGGGAGUGAUCGGUCUGUUGAGCGGAAAUUUAGUGAUUUCGAUGUGAAAAAAGAAUUGGGUUCUGUGGAAAACGUGAAAACUGAAGUUGGUUUUGAAGGGAUUGGAGAAAUUGAAGGUAAAGAUGGUGAGGAAGGGAAAUUCUUGUCUCGUGAGGGUACUUUCAGUAAUUUGGAGGGUAAAAGUGAAAUCAGCUUUGAGGAGAAUGUGAAAAACCUGGCAGGUUUUGAAGAAUUUGGAGAAAACCGUAGUAAGGAUAAGGAUUUGGGCACGUUCUGGUCUGAUUCAAGUGGUGAUAGUCUGGGUUUUGCUGAUGUUGGGGAGAUGAAUGAGGGUUCUGAGGUUUUGGGUGAGUCGAACUUUGGAAAUGCUCCCAAAGAUGAAAAUAUGAGCGUUGUUUCAGUUGGAGAAAGAAAACCAGGAGGUGAUGAGGAGACGAGGAAGAAAGUUUGGUGGAAGGUACCUUUUGAAUUGUUGAAAUAUUGUGUUUUCAGGAUCAGUCCUGUUUGGUCUUUCUCUAUGGCUGCAGCUGUAAUGGGAUUUGUUAUCUUGGGACGGAGAUUGUACAAGAUGAAGCGCAAGACGAGGGGCUUGCCACUUAAGGUUACUGUGGAUGACAAGAUCUAAUUCCAUUAUCCGUGACUGUGACUGCGAAAUUUAAAUCUAUGAAUAACGCGCUUUAUGCUCUACUGCAAUCAAAGACAGUAAACAGGAUUUUUAACCACUUGGUAGCUUGUUUUACGAGAACCAAAUUAGAGGACAGAAAUCUUGAACUGCCAGUUUUCCAUCUGCUUUGGAUGCAUAAAUUUUGGUUGAGCUCAACUGAUGAAUUUUUGGUUCGUUCUCCUCCUCGCCCCUGCAAAGCCUCCAUAUUGCAGAGUAAUUUUAUCUCCAAGUCUUUGAGGCAGUAAAAGGUGGACAUCAUUUAACUAAGAAUUGAAUGGGCUAUAGAUUUAAUAAGAAUCUGCUUUGCUCCCUGCAACUUUUCUUUUCCACUCUUGGAGUUCUUUUCUGCCUACUAACUGAAUUGAAAAUUUUCCUGACCUCUCAAUAGUAGUAGGCAAACCUAGGUAUUUUUAAUGUCUAUUAAUCUCUCACACACCACGAUGGUUAUAACAUAAUUCCUUGCAUUGUUCGGUACAUUGCUGGUGAAGGUGACCAUCGAUUUACUCAAGUUAAAUUGUUGACAUGGUGCUUGCUCAUAUUCUUAUAAAAUCCAUUUAAUUGUCAAGCAAUUAUGUGGUGUGCUUUGGUAAAAAGGAUUUUUUUUCAUCAGUGAAUAGCAGGAGUGACACAAUUGGUUCUCUUUUGCACACUUGCACCUGCUGGGAUUACCCUCUUUGUUUGCUUUGGCUUAGACCUGACAAGCCCUUUGCACCCAGGUAAGACGAUGAGAGGGUCUCCUCAUCAGAGGCCCCUUUUGGGAUGGAUGUGGCUAACUAGGGAGCCAUUAGUAAGAACUGAUUAAGUCAUUGUCUACAUGCUUCAUAACUUGAGCUGUCCAUUUAUUAGCAAUCAUAAACUAAAAGCAUUCUAACCCUAAAAAAAACCCAAUUUACCCAUCAUUUGCUCCAAGAAUGCCUAUACCCUGUUAUGAGCCUUAGACAUGUCCAGUUUAAGUGCGAGACUCCCUUGUCUACCCCCGUUUUUAAUUUUUAGUAGGAAAACUUGGUACAAAGGCACACUGGGACGCAGAGAAAAUGUUACUUAGGGGAGGCUUAAGAUGGUUAGUUAAGUUCUUUUGUCAAGCUGAUAAAAUACGUGACACAAAAUAGCGGGACAGACUCUUUGUUACUUUUAUUAGGUCUAGGAAAAGUCUUGCCAUUCCACAUUAUGAAAUAGCUUAAGACCAGGCUGCAUUUUUGUAACCCCCUGGUGGAUAUUUCUGGGGUAUGUAAGAUGACGCAUCAGAUGAAGGUGAAGGUCAAUAAUUUGGAUCUGAAAAUUGUUAGUGGUUGCCUUUACAUGCUCUGAAGCCCCUGACUUGUGGAAUUUUUAUGUUCAUUGGGAAGUCUUAUUGGUGGAAUAACUUGUUCAUAUUUAUUUGACAGAAUACGUUUAACCCCUUUGUAUGAUGCUUGUGAAUUGUAAACAUAUUGGAGCAAUUAAGUGAUACUCACUGUUUAGGACCUGAAUAGCUGGCUUAAUUGUUUACUUUGUGUUAUGA
rnacentral:misc_RNA from 1 species